rnacentral:lncRNA from 1 species
CCAUCACAUCGAUGCCCUGAAUCUGAUCUAACCUUUAGAUCAUAUUGGUUGACUUCAGAAUGAAGAGAAGCGUGUUGGGUGAUGUGCAUGUAUUUUUAAAAAUUUUAUAGUGAAAUAUGCAUAGAUUAAAUAAUUUAAUCUAUAAUGUAUGCAUAGAUCAAAUCUAAAUCACCAUACUGUUAGAUGUGUGCCCUAGAUGCCA